AUUGAACGCUGGCGGCAGGCCUAACACAUGCAAGUCGAGCGGAUGAGGAGAGCUUGCUCUUCGAUUCAGCGGCGGACGGGUGAGUAAUGCCUAGGAAUCUGCCUGGUAGUGGGGGACAACGUUUCGAAAGGAACGCUAAUACCGCAUACGUCCUACGGGAGAAAGCAGGGGACCUUCGGGCCUUGCGCUAUCAGAUGAGCCUAGGUCGGAUUAGCUAGUUGGAGAGGUAAUGGCUCACCAAGGCGACGAUCCGUAACUGGUCUGAGAGGGUGACCAGUCACACUGGAACGGAAACACGGUGCAGAUUCCUACGGGAGGCAGCAUGGGGGAAUAUUGGACAAUGGGCGAAAGCCUGUUCCAGCCAUGCCGCGUGUGUGAAGAAGGUCUUCGGGUUGUAAAGCACUUUAAGUUGGGAGGAAGGGCAGUAAGUUAAUACCUUGCUGUUUUGACGUUACCGACAGAAUAAGCACCGGCUAACUCUGUGCCAGCAGCCGCCGUAACAC
rnacentral:rRNA from 1 species